ACUAUACAUUAUACAAAGACUUUCAAGGACGUGGCCACCCCAUGGUAGAAGAACUUAAUCUCACUGCCUGAUUGUUAUGCCACCAAAAGAGAGCUCUUUGAGAUUCCAUAUUCAGACACCAGCUGAGACUUCAUUUUUGGUCGGUUUAUCUUUUUUCUUUCCGGGAUCUUGUUGAGCUUUUUGUACAACAGCCUUAUUUGGAACCAAAACUAUGAAUAUAUUCCUGUCUUUGAAGUUCUUGCUUUCCUCAGUUGCAAGCUGCAGAUCAGGACAGAGUUUAGGAUGUAAAGAGCAGCUUUCAGGUAAUGGAAGUGAAACCCAAACAAAUGCAUUGAACAGCAUAAAAUGGAUGAAGGGAACGAACACCAUUGGAAGUUAAGACUCAAACACCAUAAGCAGGUGAGUUGCUAAUUAUUCUGUUCAGAGAUCAUUUUUCCGUUUCAUUCGCCAACACAUACUAUCCAAUCUGGCUAAAGAACAUUUAAUUAUGAUUUUGUAUUGAAAAACUACUUGAUUACAUUUUUUAAAAAGAAAAUAAAAUGCUUGUGAUUAUAAAAAAAAAAAGACUAAGUACUUGAAAGAUAUUACCUUGGUUAACUCACAAUACUAGUUAAUGUCACCUCGUUCCUGGAAAUGCUUAAAACAACUCUCAUUUCGACUUGAAAAGAAGUUAAAUUUGUCAUCUACGCAUACUGCUUAAUUCAUGAUUUCUUCUAAAAACAAUUUACAAUAUGGCACCGUUGGAAAUUUGAGAACUUUAUAUGAUUUUAAUAACUCUUUCCACCUUGAACAUAGCAUAUUUGAUAUUGAUGAAAGGGGGAAAAAGAAAUACUUCAUGAAUUACCUCCCCAACAUCAUUCUGAAAACGUCUGAUGAGUUCCAUAGCCAUAUUUCUAAAUUCGUUUUCUCGACCUUUCAAGUUCACUAUGACCUUAACCUGAAAGCAUAGAUCAAAACAUUUCACUGCUAUUGAACUCCAAAACAAAAUAAGGCCUAUAUUUUCACUUCAAGCAUAACUAUUAUAACACCCCCCCCCCCCCAAAAAAAAAUAAAAAAUAAAAAAAUACCCCACCUUAUCACCAUCAUUCAGAAACUUCCUUGCAGCUUUCAAACGAACAGAAUAAUCAUGUUGAUCAAUGUUAUAACUGUUCAAAACAAACAAAAGCAAUUCAGCCAAAAAACUAGAAAGUGCUCAAAAAUGGUUAUUCAUUAUAGCUUUAAAAUAAAGUUCUUGAUAGAAGCUAAGGUGAUACGAGUUACUCUUGCAAAUUUUUACCCCAACUGUUGAUCAAGAAGAUACAUUUGAUUGAACAAAGGAACUUGAGAAUUUUGGCGAAGGAAAAUUUUUCUUUCAAUCAAGGAAAUACAGCCUAAUACUUAUAUUAGGAUGAUUGGCAUUUCAGUCCACUAUUAUAGGAAAAAAUAAUAGGACAAUCUCACAAAGUUAGGAAUCUUAACAAACUAGGAAAGCACUAGGAAUCAGUUAAUGACUAAUCCUAUUUCUUAGGAAACUAAAUAAUAAAUCCUAAUCUACCAGAUUACAGCCUAUGAGUAAUUUCCUAAUAUAUACAAACUAAUUCGGCUCCUUUCUACACUCCCCCUCAAGCUGAGGUGUAUAUGUUAUACAAUCCCAGCUUAGAGUUGAAUUCAUCGAAGCUGAUUCUUGGAAGAGCUUUGGCGAGAAUGUCAGCAAGCUGCAGUUGAGUAGGGAUGUAGCUCAGUUGGACUAUUCCAUUGUUGACCUUCUCUAAAUUGAAAUGCCUAUCAAUUUCCACAUGCUUGGUCCUGUCGUGGUGUACUGGAUUUUUAGCAGUGCUUAUUGCAAAUUAACUGUCACUAUGUAUUUUUAUCUAGUCCUUAAAAUCAACUUUCAAUUCCCUUAGAAAUCUCUGAAUCCACAUUCCUUCGCAAAUGCCCAAAGCAAGACCACGAUAUUCUGACUCUGCACUACUUCUUGACACCACUGACUACUUUUUGCUUCUCCAUGUAACAAGAUUGCCCCAAACAAAGGAGCAGAAACCACUUGUGGAUCUUCUUUCAAUCGAUUCUCUAGCCCAACUUGCGUCAGUGAUACCUCUAUCUCACGGAUUUAACUCUUUUUGAAGAGUAAAUCGUCGCCUGGUGUCAUCUUUAGGUAUCUUGGAAUCAGAUUCACAGCCUCUAAAUGUUCCUCAUACAAAUCAUUCAUGUGCUAGCUAACAACAUUUACUGAGAAUGCAAUGUCUGGCCUCAUGUGUGAGAGAUAGAUCAACUUGCCCACUAAUCUUUGAUACUGUCCUUUAUCCACUGGUACACUCUCCUCAUUUUUCCUUAAACUUUAGGUUGGGGUUCAUAGGCAUCUUUGUAAGUUUACACCCAAGCACGUCCGUCUCAAUUAGCAAAUCUAAUAUCUACUUUCUUUGGGAUAUAACAAUCCCUGCCUUAGAUCAAGCAAUCUCCAUGCCUAGGAAAUAUCUGAGAGAACCAAGAUCUUUAAUUUCCUCAGUAGCAAGUAAUCUUUUGAGUUUGAUAAUUUCCUCUAAGUCAUCUCCAAUUAGAAUGAUAUUGUCAAUGUAGACAAUGAGAAUAGCAAUUCUACCUUUUGAUGAGGAUUUCACAAAUAAGGAAUGAUCUGCCUGGCAUUGAUUGUAUCCAUUUGUGACUAGUGUUUUGGCAAACCUGUCAAACUAGGCACAAGAUGAUUGUUUUAGCCCAUACAAAAUGACUUCUUCAGCUUGCACACUUGAUGGCUGUUUGAGGAGUGUUCUAAACCUGGAGGUAUUUCCAUGUAAAUGUCUUCUUCAAGAUCUCUUUUUGGAUGUCUAGCUGAUGCAAAGGCCAAUCUUUAUUUACUGCUAGUGACAAUAGUACUCGAACUAUGUUUUAACUUGGCAACAGGUGCAAAUUUUCUUGAUAAUCGAUUCCAUAUGACUAAGUAAAGCCCUUUCCCACCAGCCUGGCUUUAAACCUCUCAAUACUUCCAUCUGCUUUAUACUUAACUGUAAAUAGUCACUUGCAACCCACUGGCUUCUCCCCUUGAGGUAACUCUUACAGAGUCCAAGUUUCAUUGCUAUCUAAAGCCCUGAUUUCUUCCUUAAUGGCCUUCUUCCAUGUUGGAUUUUUCAAAGCUUCUUGAAUGGAACAAUUUCCCAUAUGCCACAUAUUUCUCAAUAGGGUGGUCUGUGCAUGUUCGGACAUUUUUUCUUUGAGCAAUAGGCAAAUCAGAAUCAUCAACAAAAGGAACAAGCAGCUCACGAGUUGAAGAAUCCAUACCAGUGUAAAAUUCCGAAGCAGGAGGCUCUGGUUCAAAUUCUUGACAAUCUCUGAUUUGAGUGGCAUUCUCUAGAUUUUCAAUAGGUCUUCCCCUCCUAGAAUAGACACAAAAGUUCCUGAUGAUUUGCACCAAGUUGAGGUUGAGUGAACUCAUGCAACUGAGACUUGAAUGGUGUGUCAUUUGGACCUGAUGUGGAACUGAGAUUCGGAUUUUUAGGACUCAAACGAGGUGAGAUAUUUGAGAACUCGGAACAGGGUAAGGAUGUCGGAUUGACACUUUGGGGUGAAAUAUACACGGAUUGAGUCUCUUGAAGAAUGUCCCGAAGCUAAAAUUCCCUUGAGUUCUCCCCUCUGAAUUGCAGAUUUGGAAAAUUAGGAUUGGUGUUCAAAAAAAGUGACAUCCAUGGAAUUGUACAUCUUUCGAGUAACAUGUGAGUAACACUUGUACCCUUUUUUAUUAGAAGAAUAUCAUAGGAAAAUGCAUUUUACUGAUUUGGGAUCAAAUUUGGUUCAAUGUUGUUGGUAUAUGUGACCAAAUGUUGAACAACCAAAGACUCUAAGUGAAAGAUUAGAAGAAAAAGAUUCAGCAUGAAGGCCGGCCUGUAGGAGGACUUCAUGAGGUCUCUGGAAUUGUAGCACUUGACUAAUCAUUCUAUUGAUGAUAUUGUUGGCAGUAAGGAUGAUUUCACCCCAAAAGUGUUUAGGUACAUGAUUAGUAAACAUUAGUGAUCUAGCUACCUCAAGUAAGUGUAUUUUUUUUCUCUCGGCUAUCCCAUUUGGCUGAAAGGUGUCAACACAAGAACUCACAUGAAUAAUUCCUUGUGUUAUGAAAUAGAAACCCAAGGCUGAUGUAAAAUACUCCCUGUUAUUAUCGGUCUUAAGAAUCUGAAUUUUACUUUUGAACUGGGUGUGAAUCAUAGAAUAAAAAGACUAGAAGAUUUCCCCAGUUUCGGAUUGUUCCUUCAUAAGGAAUGUCCUGGUGGUUCUAGUAUGAUCGUCCAUGAAAGAUACGAACCAACGAGCCCCAUUAAUAUUUUUCACUCGUGAGGGUCCCCAAAUGUCCCUAUGAAUUAUAGAGAAUGGAUGUGAUGGCUUAUAUUGAAUGCUAGGAUAAGCAUGUCUUGUGUUUUGCAAGUUGACAUAUUUCACUAUGAAAAAACUUGGAAUUUUUAUUGAUGAACAAAGGAGGAAGCAAUUUUUCAAGGUACACAAAAAUUGGGUGACCAAGGCGGAAGAGCCAUAAUAUGACUUGAUUCUCAUUUGAAACAGAAACAGAAUUAGAGAAAGAGUUAGAAAUAGACUCAGAAACACAACUUGAAUGAACUUGUCCAUGUAGAAGAGAGUUCCUUUUGAGCAAGUAGAGACCACAAAUUUCAGCACUGCCAAUCACCUUCCUCGAUUUAGUCACACAGUUCAAGUCACAGGUGAGUUUACUAAUAGAAAUCAGAUUGUGUCUAAUUUUGGAACAUAAAGGACUAAUGAGAGGUCCUUUGUCAAUUUGAUUGAUCCAAUUCCUGCCACUUUUGAGAGUGAUCCAUCUACUAUUCAUACUGUAGAGGGGCUUGAAUAUGGACUAAACUUGUGAAAGACAUUAAUGUCUCCGGUCAUGUGAUCUGAAGCUCCAGCAUCAACCAUCCAUGGUCUUAAUUUUCUGGUUGCUGCAAUAUGAGCAAAGGAAAAUGUACCUUGAUGUACUAGCAUGUUAGUACAUUGUUCGGUAGUGGGUGAUAUAUGUCCAAGUAAUUUCUACAACACCUCAAUUUGCUCCCUGGUGAGUGGAUUGAUUUCAGUGCUAGUGUUGAUGUUGUCAGAAGUGUUGGCAACAUUUGCACGAUUGUCCCGAUCCUAGCGUGCUCGGUUAGGCCUCCAAUCAACAGGCUUCCCAUGUAAUUUCCAGCAAGUUUCUCUGAACAGACCAGGUUUCUUACAAUGGUCACACCGUGGCCUUCCUAUUCUUUGCUUGUUAUCCUCAGAUAUGUGUGUACAAGGCUGAGCCUUCAGCAACUGGGGAACUCAUAUUUUCUGCCAUCAUCGGUUUCUUCCUACUUUCUUCUCUUCUAACUUCAACAAAUGUCUCUCGGACGGAAGGCAGAGGCCUGCUGCCCAAGAUUCUACCCCUUCAUCCAAAUCCUUAUUGAGACCAACAAGAAAUUUGAAUGUUCUCUUUUGAUCAACAUCUUUUUGUGUAAAGUUGCAUCAUCUGGACAUUUCCAGGGGUAUAUUUCAAACAUAUCAAGGUGCUGCUAGUACCAGGUUAUUGUGUUGAAAUAUUGAGUGAUAGUCAUCUCCCCUUGUCGAAGAUCAUGAAGUCGAGUUUCAAUUUCAAAAAGUUCAGAGGUAUUUUUGGAACUAGAGUAAGUUUCUCUUGCUCUAUCCCAGAUUUCCUUGGUUGUUUUGUAGAGAAAGAAAUUUUCUCCAAUUUCCGUGGUCAUGGAGAUUAUUAGCCAUGACAUGACCAUAUGAUUUUCAAUAUUCCACAUGCGAUACUUGGGAUCCAUUGUUGCCAGAAUAGGAAAAUCAGUGAGAUAAUCAUCCUUGCCUCUACCAAAAAUAAACAUAAGGACGGAUUGUGACCACUGAAGAAAAUUGUGGCCAUUGAGUUUGUGACGAGUGAUCGGAAGAGGAGAGUUUUCGAUGAUAUUGGCUGAGGAGUUUUCAUAGUUUUUGGCUGAGGGAUUUUGCUCGGGUCUGGAAUUGACUUCCGAGGAGGAGGUGGUUUGUGUAUCCAUGUUGUAUUAGGGUUUAGAGCCUAUCUCUGAUGCCAUGAGAAUUUUGGUGAAGGAAAUACAGCCUAAUACUUAUAUGAGGAUGACCGGCAUUCCAAUCCAUUAUUCUAGGAAAAAUAAUAGGACAAUCCCACAAACUCAGGAAUCUUAACAAACUAGGAAAGCAAUUAAUUAGGAAUCAGUUAAUGACUGAUCCUAUUUCUUAAGAAACUAAAGAAUAAAUCCUAAUCUACCAGAUUACAGCCUAUGAGUAAUUAAUCCGGCUCCUUUCUACAGAACUCAUAUAUCAAGAAAGAGACUGGGCAAAGUUGGAUUCAAUAUCAAGCACGAGUACUUCACUGAGAUAGUACCAUUCAUAUGACACUACCAUGGUAAAUUACCAGAGUUUUCUACGUCCAGUGUUAAUAAAUGAUAAUUGAAAUGACACUUUUUUAUCAAGUCACAAGCCUAAACCCUAUUAAUAUCAAGCUUUUCCUUUAUAUGCAAAUUCAACAUAGGAAAGGCAGGCUCCAGAAAACAGCUCAAAAUAGGUUAAAUUGCAAGCCUAGUAUGGGGUUUAUGCACAAGAGUGGAUUGUGCAUAUGCUUCUUGAAACAUCAUGUAAAAAAACGGAAGGUAUCAGGGUCUGUCAUCUUUCUUUCCAAGAGAGACAACUGUUUUUUCGUAAAUAAAUAAAAUGCAUAUUAAUGUUAAAAUGAUAAAACAUCUCACACUUAUAAACUAACAAAAAUCAAGAUAUUAAACGGUAGGAUUAUAGUUCAUUUAUGAAGUCAUGGGUGUUUAAAACAAAAAUUAGAUACCCGCACAAAGGAUAUUUGGGGACAGACUACAGUCACCAGGAAACUGACAGAAAAUUUUAACAGCAACCAAAUAUCUAUGAAGUAUGCUUAUGAAAUAAAUUCACGAAGAGAAACUUAUUUUGUAAUUAUAGAUGAUAAUUGAACAUUAACAAAACCAAAAAGACACUGUAAUUUUAUAAAAGCCAAAAAGUGGGGAGAUUAAAGACAAAUAACUUCAUUAAGCUAUAAUGCAAAAUACUUACCCCAUUUUCAGUUCCUUCAAAUCCAUUCGAUUAGCUGACAGUUAAAAUAGUAGUUUAGUCAGCAUCAAGCCACAAAAAGAAAAGAAAGUUUCAAUCAUGAAUCAAAGAGAAAUAAAGGGAGUGCUAAAUCCACAGUCAAUCUGGUUGGGCCCUCAGAAUCAUAUCAUAAAGAUAUUAAAUUAGAACAGAGCUACUUUGCCACCAGCCAGAUGGUAUAUGAGUUUAGCAUUCCCAAAUAAUAAUUAAAAAAAAAAAACUCUAGCAAAGAGGACAUUAACACGCACUUUUCUUCUGCUGUACUUUCUUCUUCUUUUGCUGUUCAUAUCUAUACUUACUGAGGAAAGGGUAAAAGCAAGCACAUUAAUACACUUCAAAAUGAAAUUUCAGAAGGAAAAGAUAUGUAAGACUAAGACUAUUAAUUUAGCUUCUUUUUUUAAUAUGAGUCUAAUAGUGCUGUCUUCAAUAACGUGGACAUCAAGGCGGAUCCAAAGGGGGGCAGGCAAGGGCCUUGACUGCCCCUUGGUUAAACUAGAGAAAUUGCAUUUUGACCCCUGUCAAAAAUUAAUAAUUGAAUUUGGGUCUUUAACACGAUCUUUUUUUGGCUAUGGCUCCCCCCACCCCGUAACCAAUGACAAUAUAUGAUUUUAUCUUGGUCUCCUAACACAAUUUCUAGCUUCACUCCUGGGGGACAUGACUAAUUGAUAAACAACAUCAUUAAGAUAUCAAUUUUUGAAAAUUUUUUAUGGGAUUUCAGUUUCUUCAGUAGGGUAGAUGAAGAGACCAGGUAGACUCAACUUUUUUCCCCUACCUUUAUUUACAUUACAUUGAGAGGGUACAUAGUGUUACUUCUGUCUCAUUUAAAAGGGAUACUCCAAACUUAUAUCUUUUUCCCCAGCUUAACUAUCAAAAAAGAUCACCAUUUGGCAGCCGUUUUUAUUUCAAAACUAUUUCUUCUAAACUGGCAGGAGAAAUUUUCCAUAAAUGUAUGAAUAACAAUAUACAAAUACUUUUUCUCUCAAGUUAGCAUAAAACAUAUCAUACUUAUAAUCCAUUAUUCUGACAACGGGAGGAUCUGCAUCAGGGGAUAAUAUCACCUGCAAAAGUGGUAUUAAAACAAUUUUCAGUAUCACCAUUACACACACAAGAAGUUCAAAGAAACUUCGAUUUCUAAGAGAAAAAUUAUUAGUUUCAAUGUACUUGGCAUAGGCUACUUAAUUCUAAUCACUUAAAAAAAUAAAAUAAAGAAUAAAAAAGAACCCAAAGCAAAAAAACUGAGACAACGAACAGAUACGAGUAUAAUGAAAUACCAACUUGAAUUUCCCUACACAAUCUAUUUUUUUUAUCCUAAGGUAUCUACUUAUAACAGAGCAAAUUCUAGGUUCAUAGUGCCUUUGCCAAAGACCAGCAUAGCAUCAAUCACUAGCUUGAACAUGUGGUUGAUCUUUUCAUAUUAUUCUCUUUCUACUCACCAUUUUGACAUCCAGUUUUCUCAAGAGAAAUAAAACAACCCGACUAAAAUGUCCUACCAUGAAGUUUAAGGAUAUAAGCUAGCAUCUAGAGACUUAUGCAGCAGAAGAAAAACUGGCAAAACAAAUUACCAAAUACGAAUAAACGAAUCCAAUAUCCUGAACUGAAAAAACCCAAACUACAAUGACACUGAUACCUUCUCAAGCAAGUUGCUUGUAUAUGCCUAUUCUAGCCUGCAACUAUGAUUUCGUUGUUCUGUCUUCUAACCAUUUAUUAAACUUUCGCUCUUCCACUUCUAGCAAGCAGAGACUAGGUUUUAAACAAGCACUUCACUUAACAUUCAUGUAACCACAAAAGAAGAACUAGAAUAACGCUGAUACCUAAAGCAUGGAAGUUAAAUUACAAUUGUAAAGCUCCCCAACCCCAGUAAGCAAGUUAGUGGUUUACAUAUAUUCUCUCUGUAAUGUCACAUAAUAUAAACAUGUAAUAAAACCAAUUGUAGAACAUGGAAAUGCCAAAGGCUCCAUUUGAUUAUUACCUUUAGUCCAUGCUUUUUCCAUCCAAAAGUAAUAGAAACAUGAUGUGUUUAUGCAUGAAGAAAAUAGUGUCUUUGAAAUUGUUACAAAUUAAAAACACAUUCAACUUUUGUCAAGAAAAAUUCGCAACUCUACUGAAAAUAUCCUGCUACCAACACAACUAUAUAUUUACAAAAACAAAUGGAAAAGCUUAGUGUCCCUCACAAGCAAAAAAAUUACACAUUGUCCAGUUUGUAAAAAUGGAUAAGUUCUUGUCAUUGACAUGGUAAGGCAAAUCACUAAGUCAAAAACUCAGAGUCAAGAGUCAAGAAAGAAGAGAAUAUUAACAGAAACUGAGAAAAACAUACCAAAUCGAGCCCUGCAUCUUCAGCCAUUUGAAUAGCCUGGCUUUUAGAGACUAUCCCAAUCUACAGAUUAAGAAAUUUAAUCAAAUUUUCAACUGAUAAAAGAAUUUCAAUGUAAUGCACAAAAUGCCUUCUUAGCAUUUAAAAGUGAAAAAAGAGAUGAAGGAAAAUUCAACUAACCAUACUUUGCUCCUCAUCAAUAAGUCUGACGGAAUCCGACCUAAAACCAUAGAAAAACACAAACAAACAUAAUGAAGAAACAAAGCUAUCCCAAAGUUGCAGUUAAAUCAAAUAACACAAGGACAAACCUGAUGGCAGAUAAAUCAAGUGCCUGGUCUUCAUCAUUCUUCUUAGAACGACCGGGAGGCGAGAACCGAGAAUCAGCACCGUAACGGGCAUUUAUAGUAGCAGAGCAGUGAAGAGGAGAGGAGAAACUGUUAGGGUUGCGGACAUGGAUACCAAAGAGC
rnacentral:lncRNA from 1 species